AGGUGGGAGGCUUUGAAGUGUGGACGCCAGUCUGCAUGGAGCCGACCUUGAAAUACCACCCUUUAAUGUUUGAUGUUCUAACGUGGACCCGUAAUCCGGGUUGCGGACAGUGUCUGGUGGGUAGUUUGACUGGGGCGGUCUCCUCCUAAAGAGUAACGGAGGAGCACGAAGGUUGGCUAAUCCUGGUCGGACAUCAGGAGGUUAGUGCAAUGGCAUAAGCCAGCUUGACUGCGAGCGUGACGGCGCGAGCAGGUGCGAAAGCAGGUCAUAGUGAUCCGGUGGUUCUGAAUGGAAGGGCCAUCGCUCAACGGAUAAAAGGUACUCCGGGGAUAACAGGCUGAUACCGCCCAAGAGUUCAUAUCGACGGCGGUGUUUGGCACCUCGAUGUCGGCUCAUCACAUCCUGGGGCUGAAGUAGGUCCCAAGGGUAUGGCUGUUCGCCAUUUAAAGUGGUACGCGAGCUGGGUUUAGAACGUCGUGAGACAGUUCGGUCCCUA
rnacentral:rRNA from 1 species